rnacentral:ncRNA from 1 species
CAGUCGAAUCAAAACUAGUAUGGACAAGGGGAAUCCAACUAUUUAAUUAAAACAAAGUAUUGCGAUGGUCCUUGCGGAUGCUGACACAAUGUGAUUUAUGCCCAGUUCUCUUCAUGUCAAAGUGAAGAAAUUCAACCAAGCCCAGGCAAACGAUGGGAGUAACUAUGACACUCUUAAGGUAGCCAAAUGCCUCGUCAUCUAAUUAGUGAUGCACAUGAAUGGAUUAACGAGAUUCCCACUAUUCCUAUCUACUAUCUAGAGAAACCACAACCAAGGGAAUGAGCUUGGCAUAAUCAACGGGGAAAGAAGACCCUGUCGAGCUUGACUCUAGUCCGACUUUGUUAAAUGACUUGAGAGGUGUAGAAUAAGUGGGAGCCAUUUUCCGUGCAAGUGAAACACCACCACUUUUAACAUUAUUUUACUUAUUCUGUGGGGCGGAGACGGGGCAUUUCCCCUAUUUUUGGUCGUAAGACAUGUUUUGAUGAGUCGAUCUAGGUGGAAGACAUUGUCAGGUGGGGAUUUUGGAUGGGGUGGCACAUAUGUUAAAAGAUAACGCAGGUGUCCUAAGAUGAGCUCAAAAAGAACAUAAAUCUCAUGUGGAACAAAAGGGUAAAAGAUCAUUUGAUUUUCCACCAACCUCUUGAUCCUUGUAAUUCAUUGAUGGAUAUGAAUUAAUACAUCAAUUAGAUGUUUGCAUGCAUCAACAUAGUUAAUUUAAAAUACUAAUUGCUUGAGUAAUAUUAAGUGGCCAACGACACAUCUGGAGGAAUGGUUCAUGCAUCCCCAGGAGAGGAUAGGCUAAUAGGACUAGAGAUGUUUAAAGGGAGUAUUAAUACCUAAUUAAUUUCAAUCACACUCACCAAUUAUAAUGAUCAACUUUUGACAUGCAAGAAAGUUAUUGUGAUUAAUUUGAACCUUUCAUUUAUGAGGAUGACAAAGAGUAUUACAU